CGUGAGCUUCGGCAGAGAGAGCAUCUGUGAGCCAAAUUCACCGGUGCUGGGUUUUAAGGAGAAGAGCCAAGAGUGACACGUGGAGGAGUCCCAGAGGCUUAGUGGUAUAGAUCCACUGUCUCUUUUGGGUAUUUAAUUUAUGAUUUAUAAUGUGUUAUAUUGCCAAUAUUAGGACUUUUUUAUGUUUAUUGUCAAUUAUAUGAAUAUAUAAAUGUAAUCAUGCCUUUCAAACUAUUUCUAUUUUUAGUACAAUUUGGAUGACUGUAAUUUUAAUAUUUGGUUUACUUUGGAUUGGUUAAAAUGGCAUGAUUAUAAGGCCAAAUAACUGGCUUGUGUUGAAAAUUGACUAAA